UACGUAGGGUGCGAGCGUUGUCCGGAAUUAUUGGGCGUAAAGAGCUCGUAGGCGGUGUGUCACGUCGGCCGUGAAAACCUGGGGCUUAACUCUGGGCGUGCGGUCGAUACGGGCAUCACUAGAGUUCGGCAGGGGAGACUGGAAUUCCUGGUGUAGCGGUGAAAUGCGCAGAUAUCAGGAGGAACACCGGUGGCGAAGGCGGGUCUCUGGGCCGAUACUGACGCUGAGGAGCGAAAGCUAGGGGAGCGAACGGG
rnacentral:rRNA from 1 species